UUUAAAGUCUAACCUGCCCAAUGAGGAGUUAAAUGGCCGCGGUACUUUGACCGUGCAAAGGUAGCAUAAUCAUUAGUUUUUUAAUUGAAAGCUGGUAUGAACGGUUGGACGAGAAAGUGACUGUCUCAAUUUAAAUGUAAUUAGAACUUUAUUUAUAAGUAAAAAAGCUUAUAUAAUUUUAAAAGACGAGAAGACCCUAUAGAAUUUUAUAAUAAUAUAUAUAUAGAUUUAUUAGAAUUAUAGGAUUUUUAUAUAUAAAGUUAUUUUGUUGGGGCGAUAGAAAAAUUUAAUAAACUUUUUUUAUAUUAUAUCAUUAAUUUAUGUGUAAAUGAUCCGUUUAUUACGAUUAUAAGAUUAAAUUACCUUAGGGAUAACAGCGUAAUUUUUUUUUAGAGUUCUUAUCGAAAAAAGAGUUUGCGACCUCGAUGUUGGAUUAAAAUUAACUUUUGGUGUAGGGGCUAAAAGGUUAGGUCUGUUCGACCUUUAAAAUUUUACAUGAUCUGAGUUUAAACCGGCGUGAGCCAGGUUGGUUUCUAUCUUUAAAAAGUUUAAAUACUUUAGUACGAAAGGAUUAAGUAUUUAUAAAAUUUAUUAUAAUUUGAAUAUGAUUAA
rnacentral:rRNA from 1 species